rnacentral:rRNA from 1 species
ACGGCGAGUGAAGCGGGAUGAGCUCAAAUUUAAAAUCUGGCUGGUUUACUAGUCCGAAUUGUAGUUUAAAGAAGCGUUUUCGGUGGCAACCUGGGUAUAAAUCCUUUGGAAUAGGGUAUCAUAGAGGGUGAGAAUCCCGUCUUUGACUCAGUGCAUGCUACUAUGUGAUACGUUUUCAAAGAGUCGAGUUGUUUGGGAAUGCAGCUCAAAAUGGGUGGUAAAUUUCAUCUAAAGCUAAAUAUUGGCGAGAGACCGAUAGCGAACAAGUACCGUGAGGGAAAGAUGAAAAGAACUUUGAAAAGAGAGUUAAACAGUGCGUGAAAUUGUUGAAAGGGAAACGUUUGACACCAGUCAUGUGGGUGGAAAAUCAGUCUUUUGGGGUGGGGAGAGGUAGGGGUUCAGACCGCAAGGYUGACUUUUGUCUCAUCUUUGCUCUAAAGAUGCCUU